AACUCUUUACUUUUGCUAUUGCUUUCUUUAUGCUUUCUUAUUUCAGACAUAUCUUCUGCAAAGGAGCAGGAAAUUUCAGUCUUGAGAAGGAUUUGAAAGGUAGAGGUUUCUGUAGUCUUAUGUGUUCACUACUCAUGCACAUCAGGGUUUGCUGAGAUGCUAAAAAGAAAGGUAUGGGGCAGGUGGCAGCACUGGAGAAGCCAAAACACCCAGAAGAUGGAAAGCAGCUGUGGCCUGUGAGUAAAGGUGAGAUGGAACAGAUUCAAACCCUGAACCUUACAAAUUUGUUGAGGACUUUUGGUAUUGAAAAACAAAACAAAACAUUCUGCCACAGCAAGUGCCUGUUGACCUCUGUAGACUUGAACUGCUUUGUAAGGUGACUUAGUGGUGACCAGAACUGGACAAUGUUCUUCUACCACACCUGAAUCAAGAAAGCAGCUGUGAUAAGUAUAACAUGUAUAAAAUUUUGGCUGGCUACUAAAGAUGGAACAUUGAUUUCCUCAGCUAUGCUAAGUGGCCAUCACUUCAAGCACCCGAUUUCUUACAUUUUCCAGCAGAGCUGUGAGCAAGGAAAUAGCAAGCCAACAGGAAGAAAAGGCAAUGCACAAGGCGUAUCACCAACAGCUCGUUUCAGAAGCUCAGUGAGCAGAAUCUGUUAAUGCAACUGGAAAACUUCUUAGAGGGAAAGAAAUAAUUUUGAUAUGCUUUAACCAGCUGUUGGAAGGAAGUGGACUUGAAAAAUAAAUGGAAAAAAAAUAAAAAUUAAACCUGCACUUUUUACAAAUAUGCAAUUUCCCACUGUGGGGAAAAGGCAAGUUCUGCUCCUCUUCUGGGCUGUGUGUGAGCUCACCACCUGGAUGUCAUCUGGCCCACACCACCCAGCAUCUGCAGUGUAGUGGGGUUGUAACAGGGCCAGGGAGACCAGUAUCUCAUUCUUCCUAAAGGCUCUGUUAUCCCAUGUCCUCUAACAGGUCUAGGCUGUCAUCUUGCUGCUAAGCUAAAGGUUAAUUGGUAAAAAAGGGAGGUGAUGUCACUGUCACCGUUUAAUGGCAAUACACCUAAGCCAGUCCACCUCUGAAGGCAACACCCGCACCAAGCUGCUGUUGUCAGGAGUGCAAAUGACAACGAUCUGCAUUGAAACUGUGCAAAGGUUUUGAAAAUUUCACCGAUCUUUCCCUGCACGGGAGAAACAGGCACUAUUGUGAAUUCAGAUCAAUAUGUAAAACAAGAUUUCUGUUAACCCCUGCCCCGAGAUGUGUUGUUCCUCAUACCCAUGCCUUGUCAUUGCUCUCCCUCUUCUGUAGGAAAGCGAAAACCGUUCAUUCCCCGUUUAACCCAGACACCUUGGUAUGCAAUUUUUUUUUUUUUCCUGUCAGGUAACAAAUAAUUAGAUGGCUUCUUUCUUCUUAUCCCUUAUACCUCUUAACAAAGUAAGCAAGUCAAAAGGAAGCAGUUGGCACACAUACAUCUAAACAACCUUUGAAACUGCUGAACUCAAUGGAAUAAUUGGACAUGCUCUGGCAGCCGCGGAUCAUGAUGGAGGGAACAUGUACAGCACAGUUUGUUCAGAAACUUCUUCAUCUAAAACUAAGCAAAAAAAGCUUUGGUUAGUGCAGCACAAACCUAGUUACAAAGAAGACAGCAGCUGCAUUGAGCUGAAUGCUAUGGUUUUGUACCCAAAUAGCCCUCUUUUAUGUGUUGCCUUACAUUGGCUGACGCUAAAUUGAAUACACAGCUUGAGGGUUAAGUCAUACUCGUGUACAACUGUCUCUGGGAUCCCACUGAGACCUUGAUGUCAUGAAGGACAUGGCACUGGGAGAUAAACACGAGUUAGUGGGACCUCUGUUCAAUUAAUCUCCUAUAUCUGUACCUGAGUAUAAAGGACUGUCCGAUUGAAUUUCCUCCAUCCUUGCCUCCUCUGACUUGCUGCUCAGCCAAACAAGAAAUCAAUCCACAUCCUUUAUGUACUAAAAGCAAAAUUAUAGUUGCGACGUACAUUAAAGCCAUAAACUGCCACGACACCUUGAGGAUCUCCAACGUGGUAUUGCGAUCCAAUGUUAUUGGAAGAUUAAUUUUAUUUUAUGAAAAUAAGAAUUAAUUAUGUUGGAUCACUUUGUUAAAGUGAUUGCGCUGUGGUUUAGUGGUUGACUGUACUCAAGUAUUUGGAACUUAAUUUGAUAUUGUAUUCCCUACUACAGCCAGGAAUAUUACUAGUGGGAGAUUUUAUGAAUAAAGAUAAAUUUGUAAUAAACCA